AUUCGGUUGACGUGUCCCAAAUAGGACGAAACCCGCAUCCUGGAU
rnacentral:hammerhead_ribozyme from 1 species